UACGUAGGGUCCAAGCGUUAUCCGGAAUCACUGGGCGUAAAGCGUGCGUAGGUGGCGUGUUAAGUGUGAUGUUAAAUCGUGUGGCUCAACCAUAUCGAUGUGUCGCAUACUGGCAUGCUAGAGGGAAGCAGAGGCAAGUGGAAUUUGUAGUGUAGCAGUGAAAUGCGUAGAUAUUACAAGGAACACCAAUGGCGAAGGCAGCUUGCUGGGCUUCUUCUGACACUGAGGUACGAAAGCGUGGGGAGCAAC
rnacentral:rRNA from 1 species